rnacentral:lncRNA from 1 species
AAUCCUCACUAUCUUAUAAUAUGAAAAAAAAAAAAAAAAAAACUACAAAAAAUAGUUUUAUUUCUAUUUCCUAAAGAAAGGUACAUGUCAACCAAGUUCCGAACCUGUUUAACUUUAACAAAUCUAAAAUAAAUAUAAGAUGUUUUCAUUUAUUUUUAGAUAAAAUUUUAAAAAAAUAAUUAAAAACAUGAAUACGUUGUAUUAUAUUAUUUUGAAGAAUAAUAGAAGAAAAAAAUAUUUUGAUAUUUAAGUAUUCAAAUAUAAUUUUUUAAAAAAUUAAAAACUUAUUUUUAAGAAGUAUUCUUGAAAAUUAGAUUUACAUAGUAGACAUUCUAUACUUUUUCUCUACCUUUUUCAUUUCUCCCAUUUUAUUCAUUGAGUUCACAGUAAGGUGGGGAGAAUUUAUUAAAAAUAGAAAACUGAUAUUUCCAAAUACGUCAUAAUUUUAUUUCCCUCGAAAAUUUCAUAUAUAACAGACAUCGCUGCAAACGAGGAGGGACCUCCCCGCUGACAAUUACAAUGAAAAUAGUGUCAUUUCAUUGGAGGGAUCGCCAACUAAAACCCUAGUUUGGAGUUAUAUAAGGAGUACAGAGAAGAUAUCAAGAAUGGUUCAUCUUCCUAAUUAAUGGCGAGCCUGAUUUCAGAAUUUGGCUACUGGGUCACCUCCAUAGCCAUAAUAUCAUCAGUAUUUUGUGCUGGGGCAUGGGGACAGCCAUCGGAGAAGACCAGCGCCUUCUUCAUCUUCGGAGACUCAACUGUCGAUCCCGGCAACAACAAUUACAUCAACACCAUCCCUGAAAACAGAGCAGACUACAAGCCAUAUGGCCAGAAUGGCUUCUUCGAUCACCCCACUGGCCGCUUCUGUGAAGGCCGAAUAAUCGUUGAUUUCAUCGGUACAAAGCCCACUUGUGUUUAUGUAGUUUUUCUCAGAAUCAUUACCUAAAUCGUACUGGCUUCUUCUUUUUGUUACUGUUGAUACAGCUGAGUAUGCUAAUCUGCCAUUGAUUCCUCCAUUUUUUCAACCAUCCGCUGAUUUCAUUAAUGGCGUCAACUUUGCCUCUGGUGGGGCUGGCAUUCUUUCUGAAACCAAUCAGGGCUUGGUAAGGAAUGGUUUUCUGCGUGUGAAUAUCUAUAUAGAGAUAAGGUAGAUUUACAGAUUGAUCUUCUGCAUUAGGUGAUUGAUCUUCAAACACAGUUGAAGAACUUUGAAGAGGUGCAAAAAUCAUUAACAGAGAAGUUGGGAGAUGAGGAGGCUAAGGAACUGAUGUCAGAAGCUGUCUAUUUUAUUAGCAUUGGCAGCAAUGAUUAUAUGGGCGGCUAUCUGGGAAGUCCUAAAAUGCGAGAGUUAUACCAUCCCGAAGCUUAUGUUGGGAUGGUGAUCGGGAACUUGACUCAGGCAAUUCAGGUGAUUAAGCCCUUUAUUUUCUAUCGUGUUUAUAGUUUGUACUAAGGACCGGACGAUAUCUACACGGGAGAGAGACUGAGUCAUCACAGAACUUCAGUCCAAAGGUUAUCAUGCCUGCUGAACACUUGUGUUUGUGCCUGUUCUGUUCAGGUCUUAUAUGAAAAAGGAGGCAGGAAGUUUGGUUUCCUGAGCUUGUCUCCACUAGGUUGUUUACCUGCCCUGAGGGCUCUGAACCCCAAAGCCAGUGAAGGUGGCUGCUUGGAAGAGGCUUGUGCUCUUGCACUUGCACAUAAUAAUGCUUUGUCUGCUGUCCUCAGAAGCCUUGAACACACGAUGAAAGGGUUCAUGUACUCCAAAUCCAACUUCUAUAAUUGGCUUAAUGACAGAAUAAACAAUCCCUCCAAGUAUGGUAAGUACGCGACUAAGAGCUGUUUAGGAGUGAUUCCGGUUAAAAAUGCUUUUCAUUUGUAGUGUUUUUGUUAAUAUUACUUUCAUUGGAAACACUUUUAAAAUAUAUUACUUAUAGCUUUAAUGAUGAUUUUAGGAAGUGUUUUUAACAUUUUUAAUACUUAAAAAUUUUCAUCAUUCAAAUAUUAAAAAUGAUAAAAACAUUUCAUAAAAUCACUUUCAAACACAUUUUGGGAGUUCGUUUGGUAGUGAUUCUAAAAAGCACUUUUAAUAUUUAUAAUGCUUGAAAUUUUUUAUCAUUUAUGUAUUAAAAAUUAUAGAAAUACUUUUUAAAAACACUUAUAAAUACAAUCUUAGAAUGCAUUUGAUAGUGAUUUUAAAAAAUAUUUAUAAUAUUUUUAACACUUAAAAUAAUUAAAUUUUUUAAGUGUUAAAAAUGUUCAAAGGGUUCUUAAAAUUACUUUCAAAUGACACUUUCACGGUUCAAUACAUUUUUAUAAAUAAAAAAAAGUAGUUAUUUAUAUAUAAAGUAAAAUAACUUUUCUAUAAAAGGUAGACAACUAAUAAGCAGUUUAUAAAAGUGUUUAUAUUCUUAAAUAAGUAUCAAAAAGUUGUUACAUUUUACAUAAAAAAAUUACUAUUGUUUUAUGUAAAAUUAGAAAACAAAAGGUCUUAGUAUGCUAUUCAACAAAACUGCUAUGUUUUGAGAAUAACUUAGCAAUAUUUAUUUAUUUGUGAUAAACCACUUCUUGAUAAGUUUUUACUUUUUACAUUUACACUAAGGACAAAUUUGCGUUUUAAUUGUGAAGAUUUCAAGGAUGGGGUGAAUGCAUGCUGUGGAGCAGGGCCCUAUGGGGGCGUCUUCAGUUGUGGUGGAACAAAGAAGGUAACUGAGUACCAGUUAUGUGAGAACCCACAUGAGUACAUAUGGUGGGAUUCUUUCCAUCCAACGGAGAGAAUCCAUGAGCAGUUUGCUAAGGCUCUCUGGGAUGGACCUCCUUUCUCUGUAGGCCCAUAUAAUCUACAAGAACUCUUCUGGAGCAAGGAGAAGAAGCGCAUGACCAUUGCUGACAUAGUGGAUGACCCGGAUAAUCCAAUCGCUGGAUGAGCUUGAUUUGACUCAUUCCACACUAAUAAGGGCAGGGCCGCAGGGAUAGAAUAACCAUAAACCUAUAAUGUUGGCACGGGAGUGGGAGGUAUAUGCUUUGGUUGUUGAGAAUCUUGAGAUACCAAAUCCAAUAUUCCCACCCCAUGUCAGUUUGUACGCUUCAGCACAUCGUUGUUUUGUUGGGCACCACCUAUGUUAAUGUAAUCAGCCAUGCCAUGUUUGGUUCUGGAAAUAAUAAUCUUUUGAAGAUGUUUACCAUAUGAAAUUGGUAGUUACUAAAAUAUAAAUUUAAAGGGUUGAAAAUAUAUGAUAAAAUUUGGAGUUAUGGAAUGCUAAAAUUCUAUAAUAAAAUGGAGUAUUAAUAAUAAAACUUAGUAAAGGGAUUAGCACAAGAUUAGUCAACCAUUGUCGCACCGUGUCGUGCUGGAAUGGCAAACCGAAACCAAACAGAUGGCAGAGGCGACAAAAUAUUAACAGGUGUCUCAAAUUCUUGACCACUUUCUUUCACUAUAAUCACCACGUGCAACACACCUUUUUUUCCCCUUUUUAUCCAUAAAAAUAAAAUAAAAUUCAAACCCUACAUCUUCGCCAUGUUCACAUUUAUGGAUGGUCAACUAAUCAGUUUUUUAUGUCCAAGCUCAAAUAUGAAAAUUUGAAAUAUAAAUAGAUAAGAAUAUGAAAAAAAUCAUAGAGGUAUAAAAUAAUAUGAUUUGAAUCAUAGAGGGAAUGGGAUUUAAUUGAUGGUGAAUGGAUCAUAGCAUAUAAGAAAAUAUAACGGUGUCUCCGAAAGAGGGAAAAUGAAAUAUUAUUUGGCAUGACAAAUCUUCACCACAAUGUAACACUAACGCACAGGCAGGAUUCACAUGACAUACUCCACCUUUUUCAGUUUUCACACUGCCCAUUAAUAUUAUUAUUCUCUAUUUUAUUUAUACAAUUUUUAUUUUUAUUAUUAAUGUCGAGAGAGGUGUGUGUAAAUAUUAAAUAACAAAUAUAUAAACAUAGGGGUGUUAAAAUUAUUAUUUGUGAUGUGUGGAUGGAGGGUUCACCCAAAUUGUGGUUUUCAUUCGCUCUCCGGAUCUGACCUGAUUUUCUCUCUCUAGGGAGGUGGAAUAGAAUAGAAUAGGGUUUGAUUGAAGAAGAAGAAGAAGAAGAAGAAGAAGGGAGGUGUGGUUUGGAUUGGAGGCAUUAUUGGUGUGUGUUGGGGGUUGAGGGAGGAAUUGUGAAUGGAAGGGAGGAGUCAAAGAGGGGGAGAUUGGGGAAGGGGAUGCUGUAUUUGAAGCAGCCAAAGUGGGUGAAUGGGGUCAUAGGGGCCUAAAUCAGCUCCUCUUUGCAUGCCCUUCUGAUUCUGUUCCCGAGCCUAAGGCUCGGGAUCUGGAACCCCACCCCUCCAAUCAUGGCUUCUGAGAACGAGUCUCCCCGUCAGCAACCCCGUCCCUCCCACGCUUGUAUGCAGAAAUUCAGACUCUACGAGACUCAUUCUGUAAUUCUCCUUUCCUUCUUUUCUUUUCUUUUUUUGCCUUUCUUAAUUUCGUCUCUAGCUUUGAUCUCCUGGCAAUACUUUCUUUUGAUUCGUUUUUUCUUUUGCUUGAAAAUUCUGGCUGUGUUUUGAAUUGUGGAAACAUGGCAUCAUUUCCAUUUCAUUGAUGGGGCCUUUUGGUUCUUAUACGGAAUCUGAAUCAAAUGCGUGUUUGUUCAAUUCAGCUAUGACUCUUAUCUUGCACUGCUACAUUCGGUGUUCAGAUGUUAUGUGUUUAGCAUCAAAGUUCAUCUUCAAUGGAGUUUGAUCAUGGGUCACCCAAAAAAAAAGCCCAUCGUUAUGUUCUUCCAGUUUGGAAAUUGUCAAAGCAUACUUUUCUUUCUUCGGGUUUUGUCUAGAAUCUUUAGUGUAUGAGCUGGUUGAGUCAUUUACUUCUGGGCCAAGUUAUUAACUUUCUGCUGGGUCAAACAUCAUGGCUGAGUUCUCAAAUUGUGUGAAUUGUCGUGUCAAAUUGGUUUCCUUUUUUUGUUUUGUUCUUUGUUCAUAUUAUUUUUCUUGUAAAGGUUGGCACUUAAUCAAAGAAUUUAUGGUCUAUAAUUCUAAUUUCAAUUCAGGCCAAGUUUGUAAAAAUCUUACUUGCAUGAACCUCCUACACGAACCUCCUACACUAUUUGAAGCUAUUUUACAAUUCUCUAGUCACAUAAUCAUGAUUUAUUCUAUUGUGAUAUGAGCUCCAGCUGCCUGAGGAAAAGUACAAAUUCUCAACAAGCUCCAAAGUUUCAGCUCUUGUUGAUGUAAUAUAUUCUAAUAAAAUAAAGUGAAACUCCUCUUCUAUUCAAAAUUCAAAUCUAGAAAAGAAAGCUAUCAUCUAGUUAUUCUUUCAACCAAAAAAUACUACUCCUUCUAUGUUGAACCUCCUAAAUGAUAAUGCUUCUUGACUCCUGCACCUCUAGUUUGUUUACCUCUCAUUUUAUAAACAAAUAUUAUGUUCAAAGAUGUAAAUACUUCAUCCCCUUUGCUGGAAUUUUGGCAUAGGACUGCGGGACUUAUUCUACUUUGCAUGGUUUUUACUGUGAUUAAAAUUAAUAAGAAGAUUGGAAUUUUAGGGUGGGGAUGUUUUCUGUACCUUCAUUUUGGCAGCUUUUUUUGUUUCAGCUGUGUGGGGGUGGGUGUAUUUAUUUUGUAUAUCUUGGGUCGCAAUUUUGGCACCUCUUCUUAAUAUAUAUACUCUUCUUUACUUAUCAAAAAAUAAAAAUAAAAAUAAAAAAUCGAAUUGUAACUUAUCUGUUGUACUUCCUUUCCCAAUUUCAUGCUUUAAUUGUUUUUUCUUCAUGACUACUUCAUUUUUAGAACAAUCUCACUUUGCAUUGAAUAAAAACAAGGAUCAAGUGCUUAUUUAGCAAAGUAUUUUCAUUCUUAAACAGGUUUAUUGGUGCAUAUACUCCCUUUAUUUUAAAUCUUUUUGUGUAUAUUCAACAACUUACUCAUAUUUUGGCAAUAUGUCAUGCUGCAGAAAUUUUAUAUGAUCGGGAGGGACAAGACUAGAACAUAUUGGAGAGUGCUAAAGAUUGACAGGUUGGACCCCUCUGAGCUAAACAUACGUGAGGAUUCUACGACAUACACAGAAAGUGAAUGCUCUGAUCUUUUGAGACGGAUAAACGAAGGAAACAGGUCCACUGGUGGACUUAGAUUUGUCACUACUUGUUAUGGAAUUGUUGGUAUGUAGGUCUUGUUUGAAAUGUUUUUGUACUAAAGAUAUUUGCACCUUAAGAAAACAUAUUAUCUUCAUUGCAGUACUCAUGGUGCUUUGCUUUUUCUAGGCUUCAUUAAAUUUUUGGGUCCAUAUUACAUGCUGCUUAUCACAGAAAGAAGGCAGAUUGGUGUGAUCUGUGGCCACACGGUAUAUGCUGUCUCCAAGAGUGAGAUGAUUCCACUUCCAAAUCCUGAUGUUCAGAUCAAUAUGGCUUAUUCUAUGAAUGAGAACAGGUCUCUUGUUCAUUCUGAAUGUAAAUAUAUUAAGUCCAUUGUACUUCUGGCAGAAACCUUAGAUAUGACUUAUAAAAAUGGAGUCCCUUUUUCUAGUCAGGAAAUUGUUGUGUUCUCCUUGUGAUUCUUUCAUUCGAUAUUUCCCUUUAAUCUUUCUAUAGGAAGUAAUUUAACUUUGAAGUACCUUCUUAACAGCAGACAUUUCUAAUGCACAUGGCCGUACAAACAUGUUAAUUUUUACUAAUUUAUAAUUAUCACGCUCAUCAUUAAUUAAUAAGUAUGCUUAGAAUUUCUGUUGCCAUUUUCUUGCAGUUCUUAAAGAUAGAAUGAAGUUUUCAAUCGGUAAAUUAUCAAAUAAAAUAGCUGAAUACUCCAGUUUUUACAUCUUAUUUGUUUAUCUAUCAGGUUGUUGUUGAUACUAUGUACCAGUGCAAUUCUUCCUACUUCAUGAAUGGAACAUCUUUUUUCUUGUUUCAAUCUGUCACCUAAACAUUUUCUUUAUGCUUUAUCCUUUCUGAAAUUUUGCUCAAAACUUUAUGAUUGUUAUUUAAUUUUUACAUUUGUUUUAUUGGUGUUAUAGAUACAAGAAGCUCCUAUGCAUGGUGGAUCUUACAAAGGAUUUCUUUUUCAGCUACUCAUACCAUGUUAUGCGUAGUCUUCAAAGGAACUUGUGUGAUAAUGAGACAGGGCAGGUCCUUUAUGAAACUAUGUUUGUCUGGAAUGAAUUCUUAACUCGGGGAAUACGGAAUCACCUCCAGAAUACAGUUUGGACAGUUGCAUUGGUAUAUGGAUUUUUCAAGCAGGUGAGGAUUGGAUAAUGUUUGGAAUGAAUUUUCGUAAGGAAAUUGAAUUUCAGUAUGAUUUGUGUAUGCUUUCCCCUUCACUUGUAUAGCUGCAGGUGGAUCAACCCUGGUCAGGUGGAGUGCUGGAAUUUUUUAGGCCCGGUUAUAUUUUUGUUUGUGAUCUCCUGACUUAUCUAAUAACAAAAAUAUCUUAGUUUAUAGUUUUAUAUCUUUAAAUCAUCUGUCAGGGAACUAAAUUUGAGUAUAAUUUGGACCCACCUAUGACCGAACAAAAAUGGGUUCCAUAAACAACUCUAGUUUCUGAGUUUCAAUACCUCUUGUCUGAGAAGAGAAAGAAAGAGACAUGCUCCCAAAAUGCGAUAGAAGGACAAUAGGUCAUCAAUUUCUUGAUGCCUUAAGUGCAUGCAAAUCGAAAUUUGAAGAAGGAGAAUUGUGAGAGAAAGAAGUGAAGCUCAAUCUGGAAAGGAUGAAGGCAAGGGAACUGCAAACAUUAGGGCUGAUCUCAUCACCACACACCUCUACAAACAACCACCCCUAUCCUGGGUUAUUGGUUUCCAAGUACACCAGUGAGGUGUCCUGAUCUCAAACCUUACAUCUACUCUUUUUUGUGCAAACCAUAAGUGAUCCUAAUCAUCUAAUGCCAUAAGGAACCAGGCACCCCAGGUAACCUCGGGAACCACUGCCACCAUCACCAAUAAAUGCUCCAUUCCUCACAGUGACUCCCCCAGGCCCCAAGACCAAACACACGCAUGCUUAUCCCUCUCUCCUGCUGCUUUAGGUUUACACAUCUCAUUCAAUGCAAUUAGAUGGCUUCUUCUAUUGUUAAAAAAGAAAUCCCUCAGAAUUUCCCAAUUACAAAGGCUAUGUGAGACUUUAAAAUUUGAUUUGGAGUAUGUUGGAAUUUAUGUUAAAUGAGUCUGAACCAGAUCAAUUCAACCUGCUAAGAACAUAUAAGUUAUCUUCCUCCCAUCUAGUUGUUUGGAAACUUUUUACAUAACCAAGUCCCUGAAAUUGGGUGGCUUUAGGAUUGAAUCAUAGGGAGAGGCCUAGAUAAGUCAUGGACCAUAUGUAUGUUCUAUACCCCACUAUAGAAGCCAGCUGCACAAAAUGAUCAUGGUCAACUUUGAGGUCUAUUAAAGUGCUUUUAUCUAUAUUGAUCAUAAGUCUAGAUACCAUCCUCGAUGUUCUAAGAAUGAGUUUAAGAUUAUAAACGAAUUCCUUGUCACUUAAAGAGAAAAUGAUGUUUUUUACAAAUUACAAAAGGGAGAUACAAGCUCGGUCCCCAUCAACCUCAAACUACUCAAUCAAGCCCCUCUUAUCAAUCGUAUAGAUCAAUCUAAUAAGGAAAUCUCUUGUGAUAAUAAGUAAGAAACGAGAAAUGGGGGUUGCCUUGUUGGAUAUGUCUGGAGGCCUAAACUAAUCCAACCUUUAACAUUUUUUUUUAUUAGAAACAAAAGAUGUAUUAAUUAAUGUGAGAAAAAACUUGAGAAAAAUGAGAAAUACUUCCCAUGAAAUACAAACUUGAUCAGAAGACCUAAAAAAAACCUCUGCUUUACAAGGAGAUUUGUACAAAAGGAACAAAAAAGAUUAUACAAGUAUAACAUCUCCAAAAGCUCAUCUAGGCUCCUCACCAUGUAAGUCCAACCCUAAACAUACUGAAAGCCAACUAAGUUGGAUGACACUCAAGGGAAAGGGGUUUUAAAACAUCAGUGCAGUAGGCCCAAAAAGAAACAUAGAAAUGAAGUAAAUCUCACAUCAUCUCAAGCGUCUUCCAAGUAUCCUAAAAAAUCAUAGCAUUCUUUCUCCAUACAAUCCACAUCAUAGUGAGACAAACAAUCUUUCAAAAAGACUCUCUUACUUAUAAAAAAAAAAACCAAUCUUUCAAAGAGUCUUGCCUCUAGUAGAGUUCCCAAAACACAUAAAAGAAGUAACCAUCAUAUCAUGAACACUACUUGGUUGAACCCGUACCAUCCCAACCUAUGAGAAUAUCUUGUGCCAGAAUUCCAAAGUAAUUAGACAAUGUAAGCAUUGAUGAGAUAAUCAAUUGUCUCUCCACUCCCCCUACAUAGGGUGCACUAAUCGGGACUAAGGGCUUUAAAUGACCUCAAUUGUAGUAUAUCAUUGGUAUUUACCUUCUUAUGUGCCAUUAACCAUGCAAAGGCCAUGACCUUAUAAGGGACUUUUGAUUCCUACAAAAAUUUAGCUGGAUUGAAAGGAACUGAAUGUGAUAAAUUGGAAAAUGCUAAGAGAAAAUAUUUUGUUGAGAAUACUCUUGAAGAAGAAGGUGCUUUCACAUUUGGAACAAAUGGAGACAAAUGUACAUGGAAAAGAGAAGAUAAUCAUCCCUGAAUUUCUUUGCCAUUUAACACCGAACCCUUUCUUGUUGAGGGUUUGGUCCAAAAAAUGCAGUCCACAUGAUUAUUAGCCUUCUUAAAAUUCACCUUAUGGAUGAUCCCAUCCUUUUUUUUAUAACUGAUAUCUCUCACUCACAAUCUCAAGAAUGCUGCCUGAGAGGGAAAAUGGUUUCAUGAAGCCCUGAAAUGAAGAUGCUUGGGGAGAAGUGAAUCUUUUUCAGCAUCAUAUAAAGGCUUGUUAUCAAACUUAUGGGCUGAAAGUCCUUUGCUUAUACAUGUCCAUUUUGGGGGAUAUAGAACAAUUCUCCAAUUUUGAAUCCAUUUGCUUGUACUCAUAGCAUAGAUAUGAGCAAUGUUUUAACUUUUGAAAAAGGGAGUUAUUUAUAGACUUGCACUUACAAUGGCAGAUCAAAUUGUUUGAGGUAUAAGUAGUUAAAAAUUGUUUUACUUCCUGCCUUGAUGCCUGAUUCAAGUGGCAAGGGAUUCAAGUGGGAAUGUGGGAGGUUAGAGUCCCAACAGGGAUGAAAAGAAAUAAAAAGAACAAAGAAAAAAAAUGUUUCCUAGCAGAAAACAAAAAAUGUUUAGCUUCCUAAUUUUGUUGAAACUCAAUUUUUGAUAGGUCGAAUUUUGUUGAAACUUACUGUCUCGAUCAUAUAUCAGUAUUGCCUAGAAAACUCAGUAGAUGCUUGUCUGCUCCUUUUUGCAUGCACCAAACCUUUGGCAUUUUAUUGAUUGCUCUAUGUUGUGUGAAACCAGGCCAAAUUUUCUAUCUCUGGACGGGACUUUAAACUCACCCUCAUUGCAAGGCGUUCACGACAUUAUGCUGGCACCAGGUGGGAUUGAACUGGCUUCUUGUGAUUGUUAGUUAUUCUAUGCUAUAACCAUGUCCUUUUAAGAAAAUACAUGGUAUCUUUUGUUGCUAUUCUUUAAUGAUCCGUUGUAGUAAGGCAUCUUGAAAAGGUUUAUUGCAUAUAAUAUAUAAGCAUCUCUGUGUGGAAUAUUCAUUAUAUGCCUUGAAUGAGCGAUUGAUGGAUUAUUAUCCAUUUCAUUGAUUUUAACUUCACUUUGCUUAUGAGUCCAAUGAAACAAGUGGACCUGGUUAGCUAAGCUACUAGUAUUCAAGAUUUUGUAAUAUUGCAAUGAAAUUAUUCAUCAAUAAGGAGAGAGAGAGAGAGAGAGAGAAAAUGUUUCUGAUACAGUUAGGAGUAAUGUAAAUUUUUUUCCUCUCUCACUUUUGGCCACUUGCUUUAUAUGUUAAUGUUAUGUUUAUUUGCUUCUCAUCGAGUGCUUUCUUCUAAUGUAGGUAUUUGAAAAGAGGUGUAAAUGAGAAAGGCAGAGUAGCUAAUGAUGUUGAGACAGAACAGAUUGUGUUUGAAGAUGUCCCUGAAGGGUCUCCCAUUCAAAUUAGUUCUAUUGUCCAGAAUCGUGGCUCAAUCCCUCUCUUUUGGUCACAGGAAACGUCACGCUUGAAUAUUAAACCUGAUAUUAUAUGUAUGUUCUCACAUGCUAAUUAUAGCAUUAAACAUAAUGCUGUAUUUUUUUUCCACUGACACUUGUAUUUCUUUAGUGUCAAAGAAGGAUCAAAAUUAUGAAGCCACCAGACUUCACUUUGAAAAUCUUGUCAAGAGAUAUGGCAACCCUAUAAUCAUUUUGAACUUGAUUAAGGUAUUUAUAACUUGAUCUAAUUCUUGUCUUUUUCCAUCACCUUCUUCUUCUUCAUAAAUUGUCAUUAAGCAUGCAGAGGAUAGAGGACUUCUGAUAUUAUUACUGUAUAGAAAUAUUGGUAAUAGGGAACUCCAAAAUUUUGAUGCAUUUGAUUGGCAGAUGUUGAAUAAUUUUUAUCUUCUUUACCCUCUUUUGGUUGACACUAUUUUUUUAAUCAAUAGACACAUGAGAAGAGGCCUCGAGAGUCCAUUCUUCGUGCUGAGUUUGCUAAUGCAAUUGAAUAUAUUAAUAAAGAUUUAUCAGAGGAAAACCGCCUCAAGUUCCUUCACUGGGAUCUACACAGACAUUCUCGGAGGUACUUGACUUAUCUCAGUUUUGGGCUUUAUUUUUUAUGCUAAUGCUCUUUUAUAGAUGUGUUUCUUAUUUGGGAAAAGCAAUGUUUUUCAGCAAAGCUACAAAUGUUUUGCUACUUCUGGGAAGAGUGGCCUCAUAUGCGUUGACGUUAACGGGUUUCUUUUAUCGUCAAGUGACACCUGACUUGAAACCUGAGGAUUGUUUGAAAGGGCCUCAACUUGAGUAAGUUCUCUAUUCCAUGAUUUGAGCUGUCUGAGAUUUGCAUCAAAUAUGGCUCCUUUUGUUUAUUCUGCUUAUUUGCACUGAUAUUAUUUUCUAAUGUUUGAUAAAAGAUCUUUCUCUCUGUUACUAGAGAACCAAUUAGUUUCAGAUCAUGCUUGAAGCCAUGGGGAAUAUACGCUUUUCCGAUUGUCUUUGUCUGUCAGUAGCUUGGCUAUGGUAUCUUUGCUUUAAAAGAUUAACAAAAGCAGAUACACUUGCUGUUCCAUGUGCCCUUUAUUUUUUUUUUCUUUUUUUUUUUUUUUAAAAAAAAUUUCUUUUAAAUAAAUUUCCAUUUUGUGUUUUAGUAAAGGAACCUUUUUUUUUGUAAGGAUCUAAUGCCCACUCUUUCCUCCCUCUGAACUUCCCUAAUCACCUGCUGUCAUGAAGGUUUCAUUUAUAUAUAUAUAUAUAUAUAUAAUCCUUGAGUUAAGACAAUUGAAUUCUGGAAGUUAAGCAUGUUGAAUCAUGUGAUUGUACAAAAGAUUUUAAUAUAGCUCACUAUUCACUCAGUGGAUGGUCUCUUUUUUUUCUCCUGCUAAAAUUUGUGUAUAAAUGAUGUGAUUCAUGAAGUUUGAUUUUGUUGGUUAUUGAUUUGGGUGUUAGAAAUCAUGAGCUUUCUUCUUUUUUCUUUCUCUUUUCCCUCUUCUUUGUAGCUGAAAUACAUUUUAGCUAUAGUUGGUUGCCAUAGCAUUGGGAUGGAUAUUGCAGUAUGUACUUUGUAGAUACAUGGGGAAAUUGGGUGGGAUGGUGGGUUUCCCUAUGCUUUUCUGAUCUCUGAAAAUGUAACUCUAAUCUCUCAUAGAGAAUUGCACGUAUUAUUGGAAGCAAAAAGAUCAUGUUGCAGAUUUUUACUUUAUUAGUUUUUUUCCCAGUAAUGCUAGCGUACUGACAGGAAGGUUGGCUAUGAAAAUAUAAUGCAGGAACUCUGAUAUGAGCGACUUAUCUCUCCAUGAAAAUUGUGAGAGUCACAACGAGGAUGAUGAUAAUUUGGAGAGGAAAUUUAGUGGAGGUAACAAUAUUGCUAAUGGAAAUCAUUCUGUCAAGCCACCAAUGCUCCAAAAGGGGGUGCUCAGGACCAAUUGCAUAGACUGCCUGGAUCGGACUAAUGUUGCACAGUAUGCAUAUGGCCUGGCAGCUCUUGGUCGCCAGCUUCAUGCUUUAGGUGUUAUAGAUGUCCCAAAAAUAGAUCUUGAUGCUCCUUUAGCUGAUGAUUUAAUGGGGUUUUAUGAAAGAAUGGGUGACACACUUGCACACCAAUAUGGUGGCUCAGCUGCUCAUAACAAGGUAAGGAUGACUUGUGAUGCUGAUUGCUAGUGUAUGCAAUUUUUUAAUUCAAAAGAAUAAUUGAACUUAGGUUUUUGUUUUUGUUUGUAUUCUCUUCUUUAACUACCUUUGUCAUAUCCUUACUCCCUCAUUCUCUCUUUGCCAAGUCAUCAAGAAUUGAUUUGAUUUGUUUUUUUGCAAUUGGAGUCAAAAUUGAUAUUUUGCAUUAUUGGAUGGAUGUUUCAAUACAUAGUAAUCCUCAUAUGCCAGAAAACAAUAACCUGAUAGGCACAUUCUUCAUUUUUUUCCCUCUUGUAUAUAUCUUGUAGUAAGUCCCCAUUCAUUAAAUGGUUGAUUAUCAAAUCUUCUCUGCACUGCUGUCGGGACAAGAAACACCACUGAUAGGCCUAAAGAACCCCAAACCACAUUCAAUGGAGAAGCAACUUCACCUUCUAACCUAGUGACAACUCUACCUUCAGACUACCACUCAAAUAAAAAAGAGGGUCCUGCUUGAAUUACUUGUCAUGAAGGGACCUCUCAAACAAUGGGCACCAAUGCCUCACCUCCUCUGUAGCUCAUCCCUUCGAUGAUUUCACCCUGGAAGAAUUCUCAAUUCGAUGCGGGCCAAGUUCCUCUCUCGUACCUGUAUUUUGACCCACCACCCCUUCACAAAUUCUCCUUCCACUUGUACUUCCACUCCACUUACUCAACAAAACCCAAUUCAAUAGGCAGACAUCUGAUGCCCGACCUCCCACCUCCUUGGAAGAAGCGAUCCCUUCCCGGUCCACUUUGGUGAUGCUUGAUAUUGUUGCCUAAGUCAAUCCACACACAAAAAAAAAAAAAAAAAAAAGGAGAGAGAGAGAGAAGAAGGAAGAAGAAAAAGAAAAAGAAAGAAAAAUAGAAUUCCAAAUCCUCUGCAAAAAAGGGACAGUAUUGUCUCCUGUAAUUCUCAAAUGAUGGACCCAGAACUGCAUUUUGGACUUGUAAUUCUUGCCAAGUUUAAACUAAGGAAGAGAACCCAUUCUGUUUCUGUAGUCAAGAUUUUACCAGUCAAUACUGCUAUUUCAUUAAUGUCGCUCCACAGGAUUAUCCUGCUUUGGUUAACCUAAUUUUGAGUCCAGAAUCUGCUUCAAAGCACUGAGAAUGCCCAUGAGCAUUGUUAGCUAGCUGAUCUUAAAGAAGGUUCAUGAAAGAUGAAAGUAUCACUAGAAUAAAGCAAAUGGGAGAAUGAGCCACUCUGGCAGCCAAAAUCUCCACUUUGAACCCAGAAAUAAAAGCCCAUGCCACUGCUCUAUCCAUUAAAAACUCAAUACCCCUGCCAAAAUUAAUAGAAUAGAUGACAAUGCUCCUUACACAGAUCCUUAAAUCUCCUAAAAUAUCCCGCAGAAGCUACAUUGUUAAGCACCUGGAGGGACAUAGAGGUGGUGCAACUCCAAAUCCAAGCUCCCCAUGUUUUCCUAACAUACAGUUUAUCAAACCCCUGUGCACAUGAUCGUAAUCUUUUUCACUGUCUAAAUUACACAAAACACCUGGUGUUUUACUAUUCUACUUUCAACUCCAGACACCCAUUUGCUUUCAAAGCUACAAUCAUGAUUUGGAUUCCUCCUUCCCAUAUCUUAGCAAUCAUCUUCUUGUUCAUUAAGUCUACAGAGCU